ensembl:lncRNA
AUCAUGGGAUUGCUCGCCUCAACAGUGUAUUGAUCUACUUAUGAAUUCAUAGUUGAAUGUGCUAUUGGGGGAGGGGAGGGGGCUGGUCAAAGGAGUUGAGUCACUGGGAGUAUAAUCUGGAAGGGUGUAUUAUUAUCCCUGGUUUCUCCUAUAUCUAUCAGCUUCCUAGCCACCAUGGGGUGAGCAGCUGUCUUCCACCAUGCAUUUCCACUAUGCCAUUUCUUCCUUGAAGUCAACCAACUAGGACUGAAUCCUCUUAAAACCAGGAGCCAAAAUUAAACCUGCUCACUUUAAGUUGCAGGUUUCAGGUAUUGUGAUGAGCAAUGGGAAAGUUAAUACAGAUAAUUGGUAAAAAAAAAAAAACAAAAAAAAAAAAAGUAAGAUUGUUACCUGACCACGUGGUUUAGAAGCCUUUGGAAUUGGUUUAUGAAAGAAGUUUGGAAAGGUUUCAAGUUGCCAGGUGGAGAAGCCCUAGAACGCUAUACACCAAGCUUGGUGGGUGAUUCUGGUUGGAACUCAUGUCAGAAUGCAGAUAUAAAUGUGGACAGUAAAGGCCAGGCUCAUGAAGUUUCAGACUCUUGAUGGAAAUAAGGAUUUUAUUGGAAACUGAAUUAGAGACCACGCAUGUUACAUAUGGUGAGGAACAUGUCUUCAUUUUACCCAUGUCUUGAGACUUUGAGGGAAACUGUGAUUAAGGGUAGUGGACUAAUCUCAGAGAAGAAAUUUCAAGACACCCCAAUAUUCAGACUGUGGCAUGUAUACAACUGGCUGCUUUUAGCUAGAUCUGCAGUGAGAAGAGAAAAAAAUGGCAGAUGUAAAUGAUUUGAAAAAUUUGCAGUCUGGCCAAAAAGAAAGUGCCUGUCCAAUUGGGACAGCUAAAAUGAUUAUCAUUAAAAAGAAGUACUUUACAUCAGAGUUCUUUGAGGGCAUCUCAGGAAAUGGCCAGACCUCACCCUUCCCAGGCUCAAGAGUCUAAAAAGUUAAACUUCUGUGAAAGACUUCUAGGAAAAAAGAGCCCUACCUCUUUCAGGUCAACCUGGAGAUGUGAGCCCAGAAGUUCAGCCAUCCAGGCACUCAGAAGCUGCUGCUACAGGUACAAGUGGACUCAGCUUGCUCAAACAGGGAGCAGGCCAUAGUAUCACCCAGAUGAUGCUAGUUUUGCAUGCAUACAGAUUAUAAGAGCUCUGGGGUCAUGGAGGCUUCUAUCCAGGUUGUAGCAGAAUACUGGGAAUCUAGGCAAAUGUUUGGCAGUGCUAGGACCCCCUAAAAGGAUAGUGCUUGAAUCUAUGAGAAUGAAGCCAGAGGUAUUGUGAAGACACCAGGAAUUUGGAAAUGCUAGGAAUGUGGAAUAUCGGGUGAUGAAACUGCAGUACCUGAGUGGAGCCAGCCCAAGAAAGAGAUCAUGUGAGCUGCAACCAGAAAGUCCAUACAGGCUAUCAACAGUGAAGAAUUUACCUUAAGUCUCAAAGGAGUCUUUUGAUUUGGACUUUUCAGUGAUUCAGGAACUGUUAUGACUUUGGCAAAUUCAAUAAAGAUGGACUAAAUUCAUUUUCCAUAAUGAGAUUGAUGUGAGCCUUUUGGGGGAAGAACUAUGCAGAAUAUUAUAGUUAUACCUUAAAUGUAUCCCAGUGUGUUUGGAAGGUGAUUGAAUCAUGGGGCAUUGUACUCACCAACUGAUGAGUUCAUAACUGAAUGUGUUUUGUUAUGGUUUAUAUACAGAUGUCUCCCUAAAUCCUCAUGUGAUCAUAGCUGGAACUUUUGGAAGGUGAUUGGAUAUACAGUAUUUACUGCUGGUGGUACGUUCAAAUGCAGUACAGUUCAAGUACUGUACUGGAAUGUGUUAGUUUUCCAUUGCUACAACUAACACCUAAAAUAACCAACUUAUACAGAGAAAAGUUUUAUUUUGGCUUCCAGUCUUUGAGUUCCAGUCCAUGAUCAUGCAAACACAUUGCUUUCAGAUAUCUUGGG